UACGUAGGGUGCGAGCGUUAAUCGGAAUUACUGGGCGUAAAGCGCGCGUAGGCGGCUCUUCAAGUCAGGCGUGAAAGCCCCGGGCUUAACUCGGGAACUGCGCUUGAUACUGUCGAGCUAGAGUGUGGAAGGGGCGAUUGGAAUUCCGUGUGUAGCGGUGAAAUGCGUAGAUAUCAGGAGGAAUACCGAUGGCGAAGGCAGGUCUCUGGGCUAUAACUGACGCUCAUGCACGAAAGCGUGGGGAGCAAACAGG
rnacentral:rRNA from 1 species